UACAGAGGGGCAAGCGUUAUUCGGAAUUAUUGGGCGUAAAGGGCGCGUAGGCGGCCUGGCAAGUGGAAGGUGAAAUCCCUCGGCUUAACCGAGGAACUGCCUCCCAAACUGCUUGGCUUGAGACCGGGAGAGGUGAGUGGAAUUCCCAGUGUAGCGGUGAAAUGCGUAGAUAUUGGGAGGAACACCAGUGGCGAAGGCGGCUCACUGGACCGGUACUGACGCUGAUGCGCGAAAGCGUGGGGAGCAAACGGG
rnacentral:rRNA from 1 species